AUCUACACUUUUUCUCUACACAAUGCCAUUAUACGUUUGAAUAUUUGCUACUACCACCAAGAUCUGCACCCGAGGCGGCUCCACUCAGGCUCCCGCCCCAAGCUUCGACGCUCACCUCGGCGACCCUCCUA